rnacentral:rRNA from 1 species
AACGUACGCUGGCGGCAGGCUUAACACAUGCAAGUCGAACGCCCCGCAAGGGGAGUGGCAGACGGGUGAGUAACGCGUGGGAACGUACCCUUUGCUACGGAAUAGCUCCGGGAAACUGGAAUUAAUACCGUAUGUGCCCUACGGGGGAAAGAUUUAUCGGCAAAGGAUCGGCCCGCGUUGGAUUAGCUAGUUGGUGGGGUAAUGGCCUACCAAGGCGACGAUCCAUAGCUGGUCUGAGAGGAUGAUCAGCCACAUUGGGACUGAGACACGGCCCAAACUCCUACGGGAGGCAGCAGUGGGGAAUAUUGGACAAUGGGCGCAAGCCUGAUCCAGCCAUGCCGCGUGAGUGAUGAAGGCCUUAGGGUUGUAAAGCUCUUUCACCGGAGAAGAUAAUGACGGUAUCCGGAGAAGAAGCCCCGGCUAACUUCGUGCCAGCAGCCGCAGUAAAAC